ACGGGUGAGUAAUGUCUGGGGAUCUGCCCGAUAGAGGGGGAUAACCACUGGAAACGGUGGCUAAUACCGCAUAACGUCGCAAGACCAAAGAGGGGGACCUUCGGGCCUCUCACUAUCGGAUGAACCCAGAUGGGAUUAGCUAGUAGGCGGGGUAAUGGCCCACCUAGGCGACGAUCCCUAGCUGGUCUGAGAGGAUGACCAGCCACACUGGAACUGAGACACGGUCCGGACUCCUACGGGAGGCAGCAGUGGGGAAUAUUGCACAAUGGGCGCAAGCCUGAUGCAGCCAUGCCGCGUGUAUGAAGAAGGCCUUCGGGUUGUAAAGUACUUUCAGCGGGGAGGAAGGCAGUGAGGUUAAUAACCUUACUGAUUGACGUUACCCGCAGAAGAAGCACCGGCUAACUCCGUGCCAGCAGCCGCGGUAAUACGGAGGGUGCAAGCGUUAAUCGGAAUUACUGGGCGUAAAGCGCACGCAGGCGGUCUGUUAAGUCAGAUGUGAAAUCCCCGGGCUUAACCUGGGAACUGCAUUUGAAACUGGCAGGCUUGAGUCUCGUAGAGGGGGGUAGAAUUCCAUGUG
rnacentral:rRNA from 1 species